UUAUGAGGAGAUCUAUCAAAUGAUAUGCAUAUUGUGUUGAUAUGUGAAACACCACGUGAUUACAGAGCCAUAAAACUCGUUAGCGCCAACUAGUGGCCGAUUUCUUUCAAAAUUCUUACAGACCUUAAGGUUCAUGAGUCGAACGUACCCAGCGAGUUUCGUUCCGAUCAACAUCCGUUAACCCUUUCAAAUAGGUGCUUAAAUUUGUUUGGCCAAUGGCGGCCAUGUUUUUUGAGAUAUGCAAAUGUCCUCAUAGGUACUUGUGCCCCUUCAGACCAAGACACUGCAUACCAAUUUUCAAGUCGAUCGAGCCAACGGUUGCCUAGUUAUAGCAAUUAAUGUGUUUUUUCUAUCUUAUAGCACCCCCAAGUGGCAGAAAUGCGCAAUUUUUUUUAUUUGACCAAAGAUUGAGCUUAUACAUAUGUGUACCGAGUUUGGUGAAGAUAUCUCAUUCUGUUCAAGAGUUAUAGUCAAAAUAGCAUUUGGCUAACGUUAGCAUAGACGCUUUUUGGUGUACUGUUUCGCGUAAGAAUUGAAAUUUCAACUUUUUUUUGAUAAUUAUUGAUAUUGAGUGUCCAGGGAAUAUUUAUGAAGUGGUUUGGUUCUGAUUGGUUGAAAAUCCUAGGACUAGUUCGCAAAAGUAGGUUUCGGAUAUAGCUCGAUUUUGCGAGAAAACGGUGUGUCGUAGACCCCAAAAAGGCGCCGUGCACUUUUGUUCGGGCUAACCCAAGGAUUGCUAUGAUGCCAUGUUUUUGAGUUUAUGGCUAACAGUUUACGAUUCACGGCCAAAAACGUCCAAAAUUUUUGUUUUUUGCGCUAUAGCGCCCCCGUUUGGCCGAUUGGGCUGAGACUUUGAUAAGUUCUCCCCAAAAUGAGCUCUACGAUCUGUCCAAAUUUCAGCUCUCUAGGCCUUACGGUUUGGGCUGCACGUUCAGUUCUAGGGCGGAAGAAUAAUAAUAAUAAUAAUAAUAAUAAUAAUAAUAAUAAAAAUCCUAACAAUUACAAUAGGGUUUCAGCACUGCGUGCUUGAACCCCUAAUAAUUAAAGCUGCAAGCAGCAUUUACCGGGGUUCAAGCACAUUAAGGCCUCUGAGGUGGUCUGAGCCAACCUGGAUGCAUGGAUGACAUUUAAACACAUCCAAAAUGGAGAACAGGUUAACAGACAGACACACACACUGAAAGUAAAUGAUUAGACUAAUAUAUGUAUACUCUAUAAGCAUAUGCACACACACACACACAGAAAGACACACAUAUACAUGCACAAACAUUUUGUUGCAGAUAUAGGUAUUUGAAAUAAGUGAUAGGUGACAAUAAACUUAUUGCAAGUCUUCUCUUUUUAAGAGUUUAGAUGUCAUUUUCAGGUUAAACUGUAAUCACAAUGUGGCAAAAUAGUAAAAACUGAUAUAUCUGUAAGAACAAAAUGGAAAACAUUGACUCAAUGAGAUUUAAA